GCGCGCGUGGCGCAGUCGGUAAGAUGUCAGACUAUGACCCAGAAGGUCACAGGUUCGAUUCUUUGUCGAAGGAU